UACGGGGGGGGCAAGCGUUGUUCGGAAUUACUGGGCGUAAGGGUUCGUAGGUGGCCAACUAAGUCAUACGUGAAAUCCCUCAGCUUAACUGGGGAACUGCGUCUGAUACUGGUUGGCUUGAGUGCAGGAGAGGAACGCGGAAUUCCAGGUGUAGCGGUGAAAUGCGUAGAUAUCUGGAGGAACACCGGUGGUGAAGGCGGCGUUCUGGACUGCAACUGACACUGAGGAACGAAAGCCAGGGGAGCAAACGGG
rnacentral:rRNA from 1 species